UUUAACAGCAACAUUUUCAUCAUUCACUUAAUUCAUUCAAAUUUCAUGGGAUUAACAACAACAUUUUCAUUAAUCCCACAAUUCAAUAAAAUUUCAUGGGUUUAACAACAACAUUUUUAUCAUUCACACAAUUUAAUCAAAUUUCAUGGAUUUAACAACAACAUUUUCAUCAUUCGCAAAAUUCAAUCAAAUUUCAUGGUUUUAACAACAUUUUCAUCACUCACACAAUUCAAUUAAAUUUCAUGUGUUUAAN
rnacentral:lncRNA from 1 species